GCGAGGCGGACGGAGGGAAAACUCACCAGGUCAGGACACGGUAAGGAUUGACGGACUGAAGGCUCUUUCUCGAUUCCGUGGAAAGUGGUGCAUGGCCGUUUUUGGUUGGUGGAUCGAUCCGUCUGGUUAAUUCCGUUAACGAACGAGACCUCGGCACUCCGAAUAGCGCGGCGGACGUCGCGGCCUCCGGGCCGUCUUCCGCACGAGCUUCUUAGAGGGACCGUCCCCCGCCGGGGAAGGAGGUGCGAGGCAACGACAGGUCUGUGAUGCCCUUAGAUGUUCUGGGCCGCACGCGCAUUACACUGACGCGUCCAACGGGUGACUCCCGACCCGAAGGGGCCGGGGAAUCCGCAAGGCGCGUCGUGAUGGGGAUUGAACGUUGCAAUUGUUGUUCACGAACGAGGAAUUCCUAGUAGGCGCGGGUCAUCAACCCGCGCCGAUUACGUCCCUGCCCUUUGUAC
rnacentral:rRNA from 1 species